AGAGUUUGAUCAUGGCUCAGAACGUACGCUGGCGGCACGCCUAAUACAUGCAAGUCGAACGAAGUAGCAAUACUUAGUGGCAGACGGGUGAGUAACAUGUGGGUAUCUUCCCUUUGGUGAGGAAUAACACGAGGAAACUUGUGCUAAUACCUCAUAAGUCUUUACAGAGAAAGCUUUAUGCGCCAUUGGAUGAGCCUGCACUUGAUUAGUUUGUUGGUGGGGUAAUGGCCUACCAAGACAAUGAUCAAUAGCUGAUUUGAGAGGAUGAUCAGCCACAUUGGGACUGAGACACGGCCCAAACUCCUACGGGAGGCAGCAGUAGGGAAUCUUGCACAAUGGAGGAAACUCUGAUGCAGCGAUGCCGCGUGAGUGAAGAAGGCCUUUGGGUUGUAAAGCUCUUUCGUCGGGGAAGAAAAUGACUGUACCCGAAUAAGAAGGUCCGGCUAACUUCGUGCCAGCAGCCGCGGUAAUACGAAGGGACCUAGCGUAGUUCGGAAUUACUGGGCUUAAAGAGUUCGUAGGUGGUUAAAAAAGUUGAUGGUGAAAUCCCAGAGCUUAACUCUGGAACUGCCAUCAAAACUUUUUAGCUAGAGUAUGAUAGAGGAAAGCAGAAUUUCUAGUGUAGAGGUGAAAUUCGUAGAUAUUAGAAAGAAUACCAAUUGCGAAGGCAGCUUUCUGGAUCAUUACUGA
rnacentral:rRNA from 1 species